GAAUUUACAGUGCCCUACUUAGGUUGCACAGAUUCCUCAUGAGGAUGCAGAGUGUGCAGUACCUGCCCUUUGGAAGCAUUCUCAGGGCAUGUCUCUGUGACAUCCAGCCCUAGAGCUCUCACCAACCUUCUCCAGCUCUGGACUGAAGGCAGCAGAGCCAUUCCAUGCUUCAAACUGCACUUACUGGCAUGAACACAGCUCCGAGUGAAGGCUCUUCUGCAUCUCUUGUAAGGUCAUUAGUAGGACAAUCUAGAGGAGAAGUGGAAGAAAACCCAACUACCAUCACUCCCACUCCCACCAAACCCUUGGAAAUGCCGUGGAAAUAGGACCUGCGUGAAGACCUUUAGGGCAUAAGCACAUGAAGUGUUUGGGAGAGGUACCUGGAACAUGGGAAUCCAGAGAAAACUACUUUGUUUACUGCACCAAAGUCUCCCAGAGCUGUGGAGAGUCCGCACGGAUGAAAGUUGGCAGCCAGGCUGCAGGAUAGGUCUGUGGCCGCCUGUCACACAGCAGCACAUCAAGCUGGAGAUGCACAGUCGGUCUCUCCUGACCUUUGUACCUCCUCCUGCUAACCAGGGAUCUGGUUCUGGAAAAGACCAGGCCUGUGGAGUCCUGCAAACUGAAGGGGAACAGCAUGAGCUUUGGCAGGCAGGCUGCUGGGAGAAGAAGGAUUGCACUUGGGCACUUCUUAUUUGUAGGAUGUGCUGAAGGUCUUCCAAGAGAUGCUGUCUCUCAGAAGAGGCCAGGAUGGGAGGCCCUGAAAGGCGUUUUUCUGUGGGUGAGAAAGCGGAAGAAAUAAAGCUUUUUUCAAAA